UAAUCGCGAAUCAGAAUGUCGCGGUGAAUACGUUCCCGGGCCUUGUACACACCGCCCGUCACACCAUGAGAGUCGAUAACACCCGAAGCCUGUGAGCUAACCGUAAGGAGGCAGCAGUCGAAGGUGGGGUUGAUGAUUGGGGUGAAGUCGUAACAAGGUAUC
rnacentral:rRNA from 1 species